rnacentral:lncRNA from 1 species
UUGAAAAAUGUCAUUCAUGCAGUUGCAAGGACAGAUAUGAUGUGAAGGCAAGGGAAUCUAUUUCCCAUUGAAGUUCCUGGAAAGCUAUCUCCCACAUAUAACCAUGGUUUGUUCCGUUCACCCACCUAAAAGUGGGAAAUGACUGUAGAAGGUUCUUUUUUGGGAGGAUACAUGGAUUGGAGAUCAACCUUUGUUAGCCAGUUUCACGAUUGGUAAAACUUUUUAUCUUGACACAAUGAGCCUAUAACAACUUUUACUUCCAUCACAGAGAGAGGGGUAACUUCGAAUUUUCAUUUUUACUUUAACCUAUCCGAUAGGGAGACUCAUGACACACUAAACAUCCUAAACCUGUUGGAGCCAGUUAACCUCAAU